ACCCCUGUGAGAAUGCCCUCAGUUUUCUCCCCGAAAAUAAGGAGCUGGUAUCAGGCACAAUCAAGCUUUAGCCCAUGACACCUUGCUCAGCCACACCCCCACGGGCCCUCAGCAGUGAUAAACAUUAAGCCAUAAGUGAAAACUUGACUUAGUUCGAGCUUCCUGAGCCGGUUAAUCUCGUGCCAGCCGCCGCGGUUAGACGAGUCUUGGCUCUAGUUGACAGCUAACGGCGUAAAGGGUGGUUAAGGAACAUAUAUAAUAAAGUCGAAGACUUUCAUAACUGUUAUAAGUCAAUGAAGGUGCGAAGCUCAACGACAAAAGUGACUUUAUUCCCCCUGAACCCACUAAAGCUAUGACACAAACUGGGAUUAGAUACCCCACUAUGCAUAGCCGUAAACAUUGAUAGUUUCUUACAUACGCUAUCCGCCCGGGAACUACGAGCAACAGCUUAAAACCCAAAGGACUUGACGGUGCUUUAGACCCCCCUAGAGGAGCCUGUUCUAGAACCGAUACUCCACGUUAAACCUUACCUUUUCUUGUUCGCCCCGCCUAUAUAUUGCCGUCGUCAGCUUACCCUUUAAAGGAGAAAUAGUAAGCAGAAUUGGUAUUACCCAAAACGCCAGGUCGAAAUGUAGUGUAUGAAAAGGGAAGAAAUGGGCUACAUUCCGUAAAAUACUGAAUACGGACGGCAGACUGAAACGUCUUCCUGAAGGAGGAUUUAGCAGUAAGAAGAGAGUAGAAUACUCUUCUGAAACAGGCCCUGAAGCGCGUACACACCGCCCGUCACUCUCCCCGACAAACACACAAACUAUACUUUAAGCCUAAUUCUUUCUUAUAAGGGGAGGCAAGUCGUAACAUGGUAAGUGUACCGGAAGGUGCACUUGGAAACAACAAC
rnacentral:ncRNA from 1 species